AGGCUUUGAAGUGUGGACGCCAGUCUGCAUGGAGCCGACCUUGAAAUACCACCCUUUAAUGUUUGAUGUUCUAACGUGGACCCGUGAUCCGGGUUGCGGACAGUGUCUGGUGGGUAGUUUGACUGGGGCGGUCUCCUCCUAAAGAGUAACGGAGGAGCACGAAGGUUGGCUAAUCCUGGUCGGACAUCAGGAGGUUAGUGCAAUGGCAUAAGCCAGCUUGACUGCGAGCGUGACGGCGCGAGCAGGUGCGAAAGCAGGUCAUAGUGAUCCGGUGGUUCUGAAUGGAAGGGCCAUCGCUCAACGGAUAAAAGGUACUCCGGGGAUAACAGGCUGAUACCGCCCAAGAGUUCAUAUCGACGGCGGUGUUUGGCACCUCGAUGUCGGCUCAUCACAUCCUGGGGCUGAAGUAGGUCCCAAGGGUAUGGCUGUUCGCCAUUUAAAGUGGUACGCGAGCUGGGUUUAGAACGUCGUGAGACAGUUCGGUCCCUAUCUGCCGUGGGCGCUGGAGAACUGAGGGGGGCUGCUCCUAGUACGAGAGGACCGGAGUGGACGCAUCACUGGUGUUCGGGUUGUCAUGCCAAUGGCACUGCCCGGUAGCUAAAUGCGGAAGAGAUAAGUGCUGAAAGCAUCUAAGCACGAAACUUGCCCCGAGAUGAGUUCUCCCUGAGACUUUAGGUCUCCUGAAGGAACGUUGAAGACGACGACGUUGAUAGGCCGGGUGUGUAAGCGCAGCGAUGCGUUGAGCUAACCGGUACUAAUGAACCGUGAGGCUUAACCUU
rnacentral:rRNA from 1 species